rnacentral:rRNA from 1 species
CCUUGGGUCCGGCAUAACCCCGGGAAACUGGGGAUAAUUCCGGAUAACGCACAUAUGCUGGAAUGCUUUAUGCGUCAAAUGGAUUCGUCUGCCCAAGGAUGGGUCUGCGGCCUAUCAGGUAGUAGUGGGUGUAAUGUACCUACUAGCCGACGACGGGUACGGGUUGUGAGAGCAAGAGCCCGGAGAUGGAUUCUGAGACAUGAAUCCAGGCCCUACGGGGCGCAGCAGGCGCGAAAACUUUACAAUGCGGGAAACCGUGAUAAGGGGACACCGAGUGCCAGCAUCAUAUGCUGGCUGUCCGGGUGUGUAAAAUACACCUGUUAGCAAGGGCCGGGCAAGACCGGUGCCAGCCGCCGCGGUAACACCGGCGGCCCGAGUGGUGAUCGUGAUUAUUGGGUCUAAAGGGUCCGUAGCCGGUUUGGUCAGUCCUCCGGGAAAUCUGACGGCUUAACCGUUAGGCUUUCGGAGGAUACUGCCAGGCUUGGAACCGGGAGAGGUAAGAGGUACUACAGGGGUAGGAGUGAAAUCUUGUAAUCUCUGUGGGACCACCUGUG